rnacentral:rRNA from 1 species
CAGCCGCCGCGGUAAUACCGGCGGCCCGAGUGGCGGCCACUAUUAUUGGGCCUAAAGCGUCCGUAGCCGGGCUGGUAAGUCCUCCGGGAAAUCUGGUCGCUUAACGAUCAGACUUCCGGAGGAUACUGCUGGCCUAGGGACCGGGAGAGGCCGAGGGUAUUCCCGGGGUAGGGGUGAAAUCCUGUAAUCCCGGGAGGACCACCUGUGGCGAAGGCGCUCGGCUGGAACGGGUCCGACGGUGAGGGACGAAGGCCAGGGGAGCGAACCGGAUUAGAUACCCGGGUAGUCCUGGCUGUAAACGAUGCGGACGAGGUGUCGGGCAAGCUAAGGGCUUGUCCGGUGCCGCAGGGAAGCCGUUAAGUCCGCCGCCUGGGGAGUACGGCCGCAAGGCUGAAACUUAAAGGAAUUGGCGGG